rnacentral:lncRNA from 1 species
GCUGCAUCCAUCAAAUAUAUCCAAACUUUUGUCAAUAAAUGUUUGAGAAACAUCCUCAACAUCAGAUGGCCAAACAAAAUAUCCAACAAUGAGUUAUGGAGAAGAACCAAACAACAGCCAACAACCCAGACAAUAAGAGCAAGAAAGUGGAAGUGGAUCGGGCAUACCCUAAGAAAAAAAGACACACACAUUACCAAGCAAGCCCUAGAAUGGAACCCCCAAGGACAUCGAAAAAGGGGAAGGCCAAAAAACACCUGGCGCAGGGGACUAACAACCGAGCUGAGUAAAAUUGGGAUGACCUGGAAAGAAACAAAACGAAUAGCCAAGGACAGGAAGAAAUCCAGAGAA